rnacentral:rRNA from 1 species
GGGCACCNUGGAUCCAGCCAUGCCGCGGUGGAGUGAAGAAGGCCUUCGGGUUGUAAAGCUCUUUCAGCCGGAAAGAAAUCGUGCNGAUUAAUACUCUGUAUGGAUGACGGUACCGGAAGAAGAAGCACCGGCUAACUACGUGCCAGCAGCCGCGAUAAU